AACGCAACUUGCACUCUACCUCGGUAGAGUAUGCCUGUUUGAGAAUCUAUAGUAUUCUUCAGCAAGUUUUGCUGAGAUUUGGGCUCUUCAGCAAUGAAUUGCCUUAAACCUAUAGCUCAAGCCAUUGACAUCAAUGCCUGAGAAAACAAGUGUAUGAAGGGUUUACCCACUUCCUUGAAUUUGAAGGUAGUCUCUGGAAAGAGUCCAACAAUCAAGUGCUUGCACUGAACCCUUGGUCUCAAAUCAGGUAGGAAGACCCGCUGAACUUAA
rnacentral:misc_RNA from 1 species